GACGAACGCUGGCGGCGUGCUUAACACAUGCAAGUCGAACGGAAAGGCCUGCUUUCCCUUGUGGAUUGCGGGUACUCGAGUGGCGAACGGGUGAGUAACACGCGAGUGAUCUGCCCCCAACUUGGGUAUAAGCCUGGGAAACUGGGUCUAAUUCCCGAUAGGACUGCAGGGUGGUGCCUGUGGUGGAAAACGAUUUUCUAGUGGUUGGGGAUGAGCUCGCGGCCUAUCAGCUUGUUGGUGGGGUAAUGGCCUACCAAGGCGGCGACGGGUAGCCGGCCUGGGAGGGUGGACGGCCACAUUGGGACUGAGACACGGCCCAGACUCCUACGGGAGGCAGCAGUGGGGAAUAUUGGGCAAUGGGCGGGAGCCUGAAGCAGCGACGCCGCGUGGGGGAUGACGGGCUUCGGGUUGUAAGCUCCUUUCGACCGCGAGGAAGCCACCUGGUUGGAAGGGUGGUGACGGUAGUGGUAGAAGAAGCACCGGCUAACUACGUG
rnacentral:rRNA from 1 species